rfam:Sorghum bicolor cultivar BTx623 chromosome 9, whole genome shotgun sequence.
GUGCUUGCAGGUGCAGCAUCAUCAAGAUUCACAUCCAGCUCAUCCUCGGUGAUAUGCUAUAUACAUAAAUAUAUGCGUAUGUGAUGAGAUGAGAAUCUUGAUGAUGCUGCAUCAGCAAACAC